rnacentral:rRNA from 1 species
AGGACGAACGCUGGCGGCGUGCUUAACACAUGCAAGUCGAGCGGAAAGGCCCUUCGGGGUACUCGAGCGGCGAACGGGUGAGUAACACGUGAGCAACCUGCCCUUAGCUCUGGGAUAGCUCCGGGAAACCGGAAUUAAUACCGGAUAUGACCUAGGCCGACAUCGGCCGUGGUGGAAAGUUUUUCGGCUAGGGAUGGACUCGCGGCCUAUCAGCUAGUUGGUGGGGUAAUGGCCUACCAAGGCGACGACGGGUAGCCGGCCUGAGAGGGCGACCGGCCACACUGGGACUGAGACACGGCCCAGACUCCUACGGGAGGCAGCAGUGGGGAAUCUUGCGCAAUGGGCGAAAGCCUGACGCAGCGACGCCGCGUGGGGGAUGAAGGCCUUCGGGUUGUAAACCCCUUUCAGCAGGGACGAAGCGAAAGUGACGGUACCUGCAGAAGAAGCGCCGGCUAACGUACGUGCCAGCAGCCGC